rnacentral:rRNA from 1 species
GACGAACGCUGGCGGCGUGCUUAACACAUGCAAGUCGAGCGGUAAGGCCCUUUCGGGGGUACACGAGCGGCGAACGGGUGAGUAACACGUGGGUGACCUGCCCUCAGCUCUGGGAUAAGCCUGGGAAACUGGGUCUAAUACUGGAUAUGACUCCACGGUGCAUGUCGUGGGGUGGAAAGCCUUGUGCGGCUGAGGAUGGGCCCGCGGCCUAUCAGCUUGUUGGUGGGGUGAUGGCCUACCAAGGCGACGACGGUAGCCGGCCUGAGAGGGCGACCGGCCACACUGGGACUGAGACACGGCCCAGACUCCUACGGGAGGCAGCAGUGGGGAAUCUUGCGCAAUGGGCGAAAGCCUGACGCAGCGACGCCGCGUGAGGGAUGACGGCCUCGGUGUAACGUAC